rnacentral:lncRNA from 1 species
GGCGCCUCUCCAACCUUAUCCUCCUCCCAGAGUAACACCUUUCACACAUCCCUUUUCCCUUUCUCCGCGUCGGCGCGUCCAAAUCCUCCCGCUCCUCCUCCCCUUGAACUCCUCGCUGGAGCAACGGAUCCACCGGCUCUGACGCCGACAAACGCGGGUCAGCUAGAUCCAGCGCCACCUGCUCCAUACUCCCCCGAAUAUUCCACUUACGAGCCCUGCCGCCACGUCUGGAGGUCAUGUUCCCCACUUCGGUGCUGCCGCCGUACUUGCGGCUCUCCCCCUCUUCCUGCUGCUCCAGCUCUAGCCCUCCCUCCGCAACAUCCUCUCCUUUGCCCUACUCGCCGGAGCAAUGGGGAUACCAGACUGCCGGCGAUGAGUCCGGGGCAGCCAGAUCCAGCGCCACCUCACCCAUGGCAGUUGCUCUGGCGCGACGAUGGCCAGGGGCCGCGCUGCCCUCCUCAGGUUAAUACAGAAGUUAGGUGAAGAAGGACCCGGGCAAGACUUACAGGCAAGCUACCUCUCCAUGGUAUUUAUGAUCUCUCUCUUCCCACCCCAUGUCUCUUUCUUCCCUCCUGCACGCAUGGAGAAGGGCCCUUGUGGAUUUGAUUUGUGAAGAGAAGCAUUUUACUUUUCACCUGGACAGCUGCAAAGGGCUUUUUUCUAGAAUAUUAUUUUUUCCCUCUAAAUAUAGAACUACGCAUUUUGGUUUCUGGUGGAGAACUUGGAGCUCAGAUUUGAUUUCUCGUGUAGCUAGUAACUACUUGUAAGAUAUACUUAUAUUCAAUUUGUCGUGUAGGAGUACUUUUUUAUAGCACCUUUCUUCAGUGCUCAUUUGUUUUCAGGGUUUAAACAUAUUUCUGAUAAUGAAACUAUUUUUUUCAUCUUUCAUAAUGAUAAAGUGUAGCUAUUUACAAUUAUCAAUUUUUUUCAUUUUAUUAGUGUUAGUGAGAAGAAACAAUUGUGCUUUUGUGCAAGUUACUGAAAUUAAGUGGAGAUAAAAUUCUUGUUUUAUUGAUAUGAUGCAAUUCCUUUUCUUGAGGAUUGCUUCCAUGAGCCAGCCAGUACAACACAACUAAAUUCAUAUGGAGUAUGAACCAACUGUACAUAUAUCUGUAGUUUGAUUUAGAGAUGCCUAAAAUUUACUUGUGUGAAAUUA